AGAUGUGAAGGUGGUCUGGCUGCAAACAUCUGUCACCUCAUUGAUUGCUAAGGUUGAGUCAGCUGAUCUGGUUAGCUAGGUAGUGUCUCCUUCCUCCCUCACUACUCUAUGUCUACUUCUCCUGAAACUGCAUACUCAGUGGAUAAAGACAACCAUCCCAUUUAGGAGGAAUGUAAUCAGCAGUCAGUGUGAUCAGUAGUCAAGAGAAUUGUGGGACUUGUAGUUCAGCAAUUUCUAGAUGGCAUCAUGUUGAUUAUUCUUU
rnacentral:snRNA from 1 species